GGUCGCAAGUUAGAGAUCACAGCAGAAGUGCUCAUGGCCUGGGCCUGUCAGAUUCCAAUGAAUCUGCAAAUUCUGGU
rnacentral:ribozyme from 1 species